UCCAAGAUGAUUUUUUUGAAAAAAAAAAGAGAAUAGAUCAUCCAUCGCAUAUCCUAGUUUGACACCAAGCAACGAAGCUUUUUCUCUAAAAGAAUUUUCAGAAAUUCUUUUAUAAUAAGAGUUUGUCAUUAACCAAAUUUUUUAUAUACACAAGAGGAGCCUAAUAAGGUCUUUCACUGGAAAGGAAAGCGCCAAAAAAGAAGGAAAUUAAGUUAAGCCGGAUUUCUCAUGACUAUCCAAGAAUUUUAAUGUUUGAAUCGAGAUUUCAAACGGUAAAGCUUAUCUGAUUUUAUUGAUUUUCGAAUUUUUUCUCGAAUAAAUCAUGAAUUUUCUAGGAUAUUAUUAAGGAUCUCAUCGAAAACUUACAGCAGCUUGCCAAACAAAGGCUAAGAGAAAAAAGAACAGAGGUAUGACUGGCAUAAUAUCUACGAUUGGAUUCAAAAAAGCAUAGGCCUCGGGCAAUUUGCCGAAGAAAAAACUACUCGAAUAAAGGGUCGAAUUAAGACAGAUACCGAUCAAACUAAAGGUAUUAAGCAUAACAGACUUUUUGUUCUUGGAGAUAAUUGCAUUUUGAUUGAGUUAUUUAUAUAAGGAAAAGGAAAGUAAGUUAUAAGGAAAAGGAAAGUAAGUAAGGUAAACAAAAAAUCCUUCUUUUUCUUUGAACCCACCCAAUCAAAAAUCCUCCUUUGAGAAAAGGAGAAUCGAAAAAAUAAUAUUUUCAUACAAUAUCUUAAUUGAAUUAUAUGUAAUGAUCAAUAAAUUAAGUUGAAUUCUAUAUCUACACAUACCAAAAACAUAGAAAAAUCCGAAUACCAAUCUAAUCGAUUCUAUAGAUAUUUGGGCUAGAGUUGACAAACAAACAAAACCAGCAAUAUACUUUAUUAGUAUCGCAUAGAAAUCUAAAUGGGGCGUGGCCAAGUGGUAAGGCAACGGGUUUUGGUCCCGCUAUUCGGAGGUUCGAAUCCUUCCGUCCCAGAACAUAUAUAUUCUCUGACAAUAUAGAUUGCUUUUUUAACAAUGUUCUGUUUAAAAUCGAAAUGUUAGCUGGAAUGUGAUUGUUGUUUCUGAUUUUUUUCUUCGAUGAAUCGUUUUUUUUUUUCAAAAACUGAAUCGAGAUACGAAAGAAUCCAUAUUCCCUAUCUCAUAUUCUCUACCCCCUAAAUUAGCCUAAUUAGAUUCAAUUUGCUUUUUUGUGGAUUUCUUGACUUUUCGCCAAGAAGGGGUUUUUGGUACUAAUUCAAUUCACUAAGUCUCUUAAUUCUUAAUCAAUGAGGUAGGCUAAAAUAGAAAAAAGGAGCAAAAACUGGACUUAAUCUGGGCUUGUUUGGCUUUGUGCCCAGCCAGCUCGCAUUUCGUAAAAAAAAAGACUAGGACAUCCCCUUCUUUUGAUUUAUGCUGCAUCAGUCCCAGAGAAUGGGGUAGAUAGGAGUUAAUCAGUGAUGGGAAGGCGUUCAUUUCAAUAUCUAUAAACGGUGACAAUUGCUCAGUCUAUUUGAUCGAAUUGAUAGAUACGAAACCCUCCCCAUUCUUUGGAUUUUAUUAAUCAGAUGAAAAAAAAAAAAAAAGACUUAUCUUUUUUCCUAAGAUGAUCAAAAGUUAUUUUUAACUAUCAAAUUUUCUUGGAAUAAUGAUGUCGAGAGGGGAACUUUCGAAAUUGAUUCGAAAUUUCGAAAGAGAAAUAGUUUAAAUCAUUCCUUAGAAGCUGAAUCUUUCUCUCCUAUUAAGUCACGUGAAGAUGCAGAAUUAAAAAGAAUUCGUUUAUUCGUCUUAUUUUAUUUAUAUAAAAAAAAUUUUUUAUUAUAUAUAUUUAUUAAUUAAUAUUAUAAUGUUAGACAAUUUAAUAUUAGCGAUGGGGUCUUACUAAGACUUCUUCAGAAAAAUAUUUAUCCACCCUAUAUCUAUAGUAUUAAUCUAUAGUAUUAUUUAUAUCUAUAUACUAUAGAUAUAGAAGAUAUAGAAAAUACUUUAGAUUAUGGUGUUUAUACAUCAGCCCAACCAAUGACUAUUCAUGAUUCCAUAAUUGAAUCAAUUCCAUACCGGUUCUUAGAGGAAUGUUAUGGUAAAACUUCGUUUGAAACGAUGUGGUAGAAAGCAACGUGCGACUUGAAGGACACGAUCCGUUGUGGAUUUGUACAUCCACCAUUUUUUGUAGGAAUGAAGGUGCUCUUAACUCGACAUCAUUGGUUCUGUUUCACUAGAACCCCUCGUUUUUUGUUGUCUUGGAAUGUAAAUAGUCCAUGAUGGAGCUCGAGUAGAAAGUAUUAAUUUCUUUCUCGGGGCAAGGGUCUAGGGUUAAUGCCAAUCAAUAAAACAAUUGAAACAACUUCGUAAAUAUAUCUAAUAUAUCUUAGGUAUGGAAAUCGAAAGAAUCCAAUUCGAGCAAGUUUCAAAUUAAAAAAUUUAUUGGAAUUGAUCAAACUUUUUCGAUCCAAAGUGUUUCACGAGGGAAUCCAUCAUCUUGUAGGAUUCUUUCAUAAAAAUCGCAAAAAGGGUAUGUUGCUGCCAUUUUGAAAGGAUUAAAAAGCACCGAAGUAAUGUCUAAACCCAAUGAUUUAAAAUAAAACAAAGAUAAAGGAUCCCAGAACAAGGAAACACCUUUUUAAUUGUCUUAAUAACUGGAUCAGACUGAAGAAUCCGAUUUUAAACGAGACAAACAAAAAAGGAGGAAAGACCGCUCAAUAAAUGAAAUUGCCGAAAGAUUUUCCUUUGAACUGUUUGAAAGUUAUCCAACUUGAGUUAUGAGAGUACGAAUGGUUUAUUUUUCAUUUUAAGGAAGAACGAAGAAAAAAAGACUUAGAUCUUUAAUUGCUUUGAUCAUUUUAUGGAUCCAGUUGUCAUUUCUUAGAUAGAAUUCCAUACAAAGACAAAACUUCGAAUCAAUCAUUUUUCUCGAGCCGUACGAGGAGAAAGCUUCCUAUACGUUUCUAGGGGGGGUGUUGUUCAUCUACAUCUAUCCCAAUGAGCCGUCUAUCGAAUCGUUGCAAUUGAUGUUCGAUCCCGAAGAGAAGGAAAAGAUCUUCAGAAAGUGGGUUUUUAUGAUCCGAUAAAGAAUCAAACUUAUUUAAAUGUUCCUGCUAUUUUAUAUUUCCUUGAAAAAGGGGCUCAACCUACAGAAACUGUUCAGGAUAUUUUAAAGAAGGCAGAGGUUUUUAAGGAACUUCGUCUUAAUCAACCGAAAUUCAAUUAAGGAAAUAAAUUAAGGAAAUACAAAAAAGGGGGUAGUGAUUUGUAUAUAACUUUGUAUGACUUUUCUCUUCUAUUUUUUUGUAUUUCCUCCCUUUCCUUUUCUAUUUGUAUUUAUUUAUCAUUGCUUCCAGUGAAUUCCGUGUUCUAUAACGACAAAACCUCUUAUUUUAUUGAUCUUCUAAAUAGUUAAUUCGGGCAUUUCGGAAUGAAAUCAAGUUUGCUUAUCUCAGUUAACUUGAUUGAAUCCAUUAUGAAUUCAAUAAAUCUAAGUAAAUUUAAGUAAAUUGUAGUUUUGUUUUCCACUUUUUUUUUUCAAUAUUCAAUAUUUAUAUUGACAACAGUGUAUCGAACAAAUAUAAUUCAUUGUGAUAAAUGAAGUGGAUCUAUUUAGUUUUAUUUUAUGUUUUAAAUGAAUUCGAAAGUGUGAAUGUAUUUUUUUCGAUUUCUUCUUUCAAUGGUUUUUGGUUGUCUUGUCUAAUCUAGUUAUUUCUUUUUCUUCGGAUUGGAUCUACAUAAUUUUUUCGAUAUUUUCUUCGGGUUGCUAACUCAACGGUAGAGUACUCGGCUUUUAAGUGCGGCUAGUGUCUUUUACACAUAUGGAUGAGGUGAGGGAUUCGUCCAUACUCUCGGUAAAGUUUGGAAGACCGCGACUGAUCCUGAAAGGGAAUGAAUGGUAAAAAUAGCAUGUCGUAUCAACGGAAAGUUCUGAAAAUAUUUCAUUGUUCCUAGAUGGGUAUAAAACUGUGUUAGAAUUCUUGGAACGGAACAAAAUAAAGUUGGGUCGAAUGAAUAAAUGGAUAAGGCUGCGGCUUCAAUUAAAUUAUAGGGAAAGAAAAAGCAACGAGCUUUUGUUCUUAAUUUGAAUGAUUCCCGAUCUAAUUAGACGUUAAAAAUUUAUUAGUGCCUGGUGCGGGAAGGGUUUCUUGUCCCAUGAGUGUGUUCUCAAUUUUUUUAAUGAAUCCUAACUAUUACCAUUUUCGAUUAUGGAGAUGUGUGUAGAAGAAACAGUAUAUUGAUAAAGAAAGUUUUUUCCGAAGUCAAAAGAGCGAUUAGGUUGAAAAAAUAAAGGAUUUCUAAACAUCUUAUUAUCCUAUAACACUAUAACAUAGACCAAUUAAAUGAAACGAAAAAAAAAAGAGAUGAUAGAGAAUCCGUUGAGAAGUUUACCUGUAUUCAAGGUAUCUAUUCUUACUACAAUACUUUGUUUUAACUGUAUCGCACUAUGUAUCAUUUGAUAACCCUCAAAAUCUUCCAUCUUUGGUUCAAAUCGAAUUUCAAAUGGAAGAAAUCCACAGAUAUUUACAGCCGGAUAGCUCGCAACAACACAACUUCCUAUAUCCACUUAUCUUUCAGGAGUAUAUUUAUGCACUUGCUCAGGAUCAUGGUUUAAAUAGAAAUAGGUCGAUUUUGUUGGAAAAUUCAGGUUAUAACAAUAAAUUUAGUUUCCUAAUUGUGAAACGGUUAAUUACUCGAAUGGAUCAACAGAAUCAUUUGAUUAUUUCUACUAAUGAUUCUAACAAAAAUCCGUUUUUGGGGUGCAACAAGAGUUUGUAUUCUCAAAUGAUAUCAGAGGGAUUUGCAUGUAUUGUAGAAAUUCCGUUUUCUAUACGAUUAAUAUCUUCUUUAUCUUCUUUCGAAGGCAAAAAGAUUUUCAAAUCUCAUAAUUUACGAUCAAUUCAUUCAACAUUUCCUUUUUUAGAGGACAAUUUUUCACAUCUAAAUUAUGUAUUAGAUAUACUAAUACCCUACCCCGUUCAUCUGGAAAUCUUGGUUCAAACUCUUCGCUAUUGGGUAAAAGAUGCCUCUUCUUUACA
rnacentral:lncRNA from 1 species